ACCUGGGUGGCUCAGUCAGUUGAGCAUGAGACUUCAACUCAGGUCAUGAUCUCACAUUUCGUGAGUUCUAGCUUACCUCAGGCU
rnacentral:tRNA from 1 species